UACGAAGGGGGCUAGCGUUGUUCGGAAUUACUGGGCGUAAAGCGCGCGCAGGCGGUCUUCCAAGUCAGUGGUGAAAGCCUGGAGCUCAACUCCAGAACUGCCAUUGAAACUGUUAGACUUGAGUACGAGAGAGGUGAGUGGAAUUCCCAGUGUAGAGGUGAAAAUUCGUAGAUAUUGGGAAAGAACACCAGUGGCGAAGGCGGCUCACUGGCUCGUAACUGACGCUCAGGCGCGACAGCGUGGGGAUCAAACAGG
rnacentral:rRNA from 1 species